rnacentral:rRNA from 1 species
AUUGAACGCUGGCGGCAGGCCUAACACAUGCAAGUCGAACGAGUGGCGGACGGGUGAGUCAUGUCUGGGAAACUGCCUGAUGGAGGGGGCUAACUACUGGAAACGGUAGCUAAUACCGCAUACCAUCUGCUUUGCCCUGAUGGGUUUAGCUAGUUGGUGGGGUAAAGGCUCACCAAGGCGACGAUCCCUAGCUGUUGUGAGAGGAUGACCAGCCACACUGGAACGGAGACACGGUCCAGACUCCUACGGGAGGCAGCAGUGGGGAAUUUUGCACAAUGGGCGCAAGCCUGAUGCAGCCAGGCCGCGUGUAUGAAGAAGGCCUGAGGGUUGUAAUGUACUUUCAGCGGGGAGGCGUUACCCGCAGAAGAAGCACCGGCUAACUCCGUGCCAGCAGCCGCGGUAAUAC